AGCUACACAUGCAAGUCGAGCGGUAGCACAGAGAGCUUGCUCUCGGGUGACGAGCGGCGGACGGGUGAGUAAUGUCUGGGAAACUGCCUGAUGGAGGGGGAUAACUACUGGAAACGGUAGCUAAUACCGCAUAACGUCGCAAGACCAAAGAGGGGGACCUUCGGGCCUCUUGCCAUCAGAUGUGCCCAGAUGGGAUUAGCUAGUAGGUGGGGUAACGGCUCACCUAGGCGACGAUCCCUAGCUGGUCUGAGAGGAUGACCAGCCACACUGGAACUGAGACACGGUCCAGACUCCUACGGGAGGCAGCAGUGGGGAAUAUUGCACAAUGGGCGCAAGCCUGAUGCAGCCAUGCCGCGUGUAUGAAGAAGGCCUUCGGGUUGUAAAGUACUUUCAGCGGGGAGGAAGGUGUUGAGGUUAAUAACCUCAGCAAUUGACGUUACCCGCAGAGGAAGCACCGGCUAACUCCGUGCCAGCAGCCGCGGUAAUGCGGAGGGUGCAAGCGUUAAUCGGAAUUACUGGGCGUAAAGCGCACGCAGGCGGUCUGUCAAGUCGGAUGUGAAAUCCCCGGGCUCAACCUGGGAACUGCAUUCGAAACUGGCAGGCUAGAGUCUCGUAGAGGGGGGUAGAAUUCCAGGUGUAGCGGUGAAAUGCGUAGAGAUCUGGAGGAAUACCGGUGGCGAAAGCGGCCCCCUGGACAAAGACUGACGCUCAUGUGCGAAAGCGUGGGGAGCAAACAGGAUUAGAUACCCUGGUAGUCCACGCCGUAACGAUGUCGACUUGGAGUUGUGCCCUUGAGCGUGGCUUCCGGAGCUAACGCGUUAAGUCGACCGCCUGGGGGAGUACGGGCCGCAAGGUU
rnacentral:rRNA from 1 species